GACGAACGCUGGCGGCGUGCUUAACACAUGCAAGUCGAACGAUGAAGCCGGAGCUUGCUCUGGUGAAUUAGUGGCGAACGGGUGAGUAACACGUGAGUAACCUGCCCUUGACUCUGGGAUAACUGCGGGAAACUGUAGCUAAUACCGGAUACGACCCUCGGAGGCAUCUCCUGGGGGUGGAAAGAAUUUCGGUCAAGGAUGGACUCGCGGCCUAUCAGCUAGUUGGUGAGGUAAAGGCUCACCAAGGCGACGACGGGUAGCCGGCCUGAGAGGACGAUCAGCCACACUGGGACUGAGACACGGCCCAGACUCCUACGGGUGGCAGCAGUGGGGAAUCUUGCGCAAUGCGCGAAAGCGUGACGCAGCAACACCGCGUGAGGGAAGACGGCCUUAGGGUUGUAAACCUCUUUCAGUUGGGACGAAGGUUCGACGGUGAAUAGCCGGCCGGACUGACGGUACCUUCAGAAGAAGCUCCGGCUAAC
rnacentral:rRNA from 1 species